GUGAACGCUGGCGGUAGGCCUAACACAUGCAAGUCGAACGGCAGCACAGUAAGGGCUUGCUCUUACGGGUGGCGAGUGGCGGACGGGUGAGGAAUACAUCGGAAUCUACUUUUUCGUGGGGGAUAACGUAGGGAAACUUACGCUAAUACCGCAUACGACCUACGGGUGAAAGCAGGGGAUCUUCGGACCUUGCGCGAUUGAAUGAGCCGAUGUCGGAUUAGCUAGUUGGCGGGGUAAAGGCCCACCAAGGCGACGAUCCGUAGCUGGUCUGAGGGGAUGAUCAGCCACACUGGAACUGAGACACGGUCCAGACUCCUACGGGAGGCAGCAGUGGGGAAUAUUGGACAAUGGGCGCAAGCCUGAUCCAGCCAUACCGCGUGGGUGAAGAAGGCCUUCGGGUUGUAAAGCCCUUUUGUUGGGAAAGAAAAGCGGCAGGUUAAUACCCCGCUGUUCUGACGGUACCCAAAGAAUAAGCACCGGCUAACUUCGUG
rnacentral:rRNA from 1 species